CUUCCAUCAUCUGAGAGUCUCCAGGAAAAAACAAACACAAACAAACAAACAAAAACACAAAAAAACAAAGGCACUAAAAUGUCUGAAUCUGUACCGAAAAAGCCCAAGAUCUCUGCAUCUCGUCGGUUUUU